CCUUGGUUAGCUCAGUUGGUGGAGCCGCUCCACUGGAAAUGGAGAGGUCCCGGGUUCGAUACCCGGACCAGGCG
rnacentral:tRNA from 1 species